GCAUAUCAAUAAGCGGAGGAAAAGAAACCAACAGGGAUUGCCUCAGUAACGGCGAGUGAAGCGGCAACAGCUCAAAUUUGAAAUCUGGCUCUUUCAGAGUCCGAGUUGUAAUUUGUAGAAGAUGCUUCGGGUGCGGCCCCAGUCUAAGUUCCUUGGAAGAGGACGUCAUAGAGGGUGAGAAUCCCGUAUGUGACCAGGUGCCCGCGCCCAUGUGAAGCUCUUUCGACGAGUCGAGUUGUUUGGGAAUGCAGCUCUAAAUGGGUGGUAUAUUUCAUCUAAAGCUAAAUAUUGGCCAGAGACCGAUAGCGCACAAGUAGAGUGAUCGAAAGAUGAAAAGCACUUUGGAAAGAGAGUUAAACAGUACGUGAAAUUGUUGAAAGGGAAGCGCUUGCAAUCAGACUUGCGUGCCGUCGAUCAUCCCAGGUUCUCCUAGGUGCACUCGGCGGCGCUCAGGCCAGCAUCGGUUCUGGUGGUGGGAUAAAGGCCUUGGGAAUGUAGCUCCUUUCGGGGAGUGUUAUAGCCCUCGGUGCAAUGCCGCCUACCGGGACCGAGGACCGCGCUUCGGCUAGGAUGCUGGCGUAAUGGUUGUAAGCGACCCGUCUUGAAACACGGACCAAGGAGUCUAACAUCUAUGCGAGUGUUUGGGUGUCAAACCCAUACGCGUAAUGAAAGUGAACGGAGCUAAGAACCCUUUAGGGUGCAUUAGCGACCGAUCCUGAUGUCUUCGGACGGAUUUGAGUACGAGCAUAGCUGUUGGGACCCGAAAGAUGGUGAACUAUGCCUGAAUAGGGUGAAGCCAGAGGAAACUCUGGUGGAGGCUCGCAGCGGUUCUGACGUGCAAAUCGAUCGUCAAAUUUGGGCAUAGGGGCGAAAGACUAAUCGAACCAUCUAGUAGCUGGGUUCUGCGA
rnacentral:rRNA from 1 species